rnacentral:rRNA from 1 species
AGACGGCGGGGUAAGGGCCCACCGUGGCGAUGAUGGGUAGCCGGCCUGAGAGGGUGUACGGCCACAUUGGAACUGAGACACGGUCCAGACUCCUACGGGAGGCAGCAGCUAAGAAUCUUCCGCAAUGGGCGAAAGCCUGACGGAGCGACGCCGCGUGAACGAAGAAGGCCGUGAGGUUGUAAAGUUCUUUUCGGGAGGGGGAACGAGCCUGCCAGGCAAUGGGCGGGCGCUGACGUGAAUCCCGGAAUAAGCCCCGGCUAACUACGUGCCAGCAGCCGCGGUAACACGUAGGGGGCGAGCGUUGUUCGGAAUCAUUGGGCGUAAAGGGCGUGCAGGCGGCCGCCAAAGUCCGGCGUGAAAGACCCAGGCUCAACCUGGGGGGUGCGCCGGAUACUGGGCGGCUUGAGUACAGGAGGGGACGGCGGAAUUCCAGGUGUAGGGGUGAAAUCUGUAGAUAUCUGGAGGAACACCGAUGGCGAAGGCAGCCGUCUGGCCAUGUACUGACGCUGAGGCGCGAAGGUGCGGGGAGCAAACAGGUUUAGAUACCCUGGUAGUCCGCACAGUAAACGAUGUGCACCAGGCGGCGGGGGCAAC